GAUAAACGCUGGCGGCGUGCCUGAGACAUGCAAGUCGAACGAAGGAUCGGGCUUGCUCGAUCCUUAGUGGCGGACGGCUGAGUAACGCGUAGGUGACCUACCCCGAAGUGGGGAAUAACUGCCCGAAAGGGUGGCUAAUACCGCAUGUGGUCGCACGUUCAUUCGUGCGAGUAAAGCCGCAAGGCGCUUCGGGAGGGGCCUGCGUCCGAUUAGCUCGUUGGUGGGGUAAUGGCUUACCAAGGCGACGAUCGGUAGGUGGUCUGAGAGGACGAUCACCCAGACUGGGACUGAGACACGGCCCAGACUCCUACGGGAGGCAGCAGCCGGGAAUUUUGCUCAAUGGGGGAAACCCUGAAGCAGCAACGCCGCGUGAGGGAUGAAGGCCUUCGGGUUGUAAACCUCUUUUGUCAGGGACGAUGAUGACGGUACCUGGCGAAUAAGCCACGGCUAACUACGUG
rnacentral:rRNA from 1 species